AAGGCUCGAUAGAUUUCAGCAAUGAUCAUGGGCACUAUGCUAAAAGACUGCCCGUUGAUCCCUUCCAUUAAGGUCUUAGUCACCAUGGCUAGUCCGGUGGGAUCCUAGCCAUCUUCGUAGGAAAGACCAUCAUGCCCAGGAAAUAGAACAUGAACACAAAUACCCUUCUAUGUAUACGCCCUAAAGAGGUAAGGGCGAACUCGUCAGUAUAGGUGCGAUAGGACUUGCUAGGGCUAUAUCUCUCGUACAAGAAAUCAAACGGUAUGUAGGAGUCCUUCAAACAAGCCAGGUCAGGAUUUUUCUUAAGUCCCAUAAUCUUAAG
rnacentral:lncRNA from 1 species